UACGGAGAGUGCAAACGUUGUUCGGAUUCACUGGGCGUAAAGGGCACGUAGGCGACUCAGCAAAUCAGUCAUGGAAUCCCGACGCUUACCGUCGGAACGGCGGCUGAAAAUACCGGGCUUGAGGGCGUGAGGGGUCACUGGAACUCCCGGUGAAGCGGUGAAAUGCGUAGAUAUCGGGAGGAACGCCAGAGGCGAAAGCGAGUGACUGACGCGUUCCUGACGCUGAAAUACGAAAGCUAGGGGAGCAAAC
rnacentral:rRNA from 1 species